rnacentral:rRNA from 1 species
UACAGAGGGGGCAAGCGUUUGUUCGGAAUUACUGGGCGUAAAGCGCGCGUAGACGGCUUUGCAAGUCGGGUGUGAAAUCCCCAGGCUUAACCUGGGAACUGCAUUCGAGACUGCAUUGCUAGAGUAUGGGAGAGGGAAGUGGAAUUUCAGGUGUAGCGGUGAAAUGCGUAGAUAUCUGAAGGAACAUCAGUGGCGAAAGCGACUUCCUGGACCAAUACUGACGCUCAUGUGCGAAAGCGUGGGGAGCAAACAGG